GACGUAGGGCGCGAGCGUUGUCCGGAUUUAUUGGGCGUAAAGAGCUCGUAGGUGGUUUGUCGCGUUGUUCGUGAAAACUCACAACUCAAUUGUGGGCGUGCGGGCGAUACGGGCAGACUGGAGUACUGCAGGGGGAGACUGGAAUUCCUGGUGUAGCGGUGGAAUGCGCAGAUAUCAGGAGGAACACCGGUGGCGAAGGCGGGUCUCUGGGCAGUAACUGACGCUGAGGAGCGAAAGCGUGGGGAGCGAACAGG
rnacentral:rRNA from 1 species